rnacentral:rRNA from 1 species
CAGAGUGACAGGUGGUGCAUGGUUGUCGUCAGCUCGUGUCGUGAGAUGUUGGGUUAAGUCCCGCAACGAGCGCAACCCUUAAGCUUAGUUGCCAUCAUUAAGUUGGGCACUCUAAGUUGACUGCCGGUGACAAACCGGAGGAAGGUGGGGAUGACGUCAAAUCAUCAUGCCCCUUAUGAUUUGGGCUACACACGUGCUACAAUGGACAAUACAAAGGGCAGCGAAACCGCGAGGUCAAGCAAAUCCCAUAAAGUUGUUCUCAGUUCGGAUUGUAGUCUGCAACUCGACUAUAUGAAGCUGGAAUCGCUAGUAAUCGUAGAUCAGCAUGCUACGGUGAAUACGUUCCCGGGUCUUGUACACACCGCCCGUCACACCACGAGAGUUUGUAACACCCGAAGCCGGUGGAGUAACCAUUUGGAGCUAGCCGUCGAAGGUGGGACAAAUGAUUGGGGUGAAGUCGUAACAAGGUAGCCGUAUCGGAAGGUGCGGCUGGAUCACCUCCUUUCUAAGGA